rnacentral:lncRNA from 1 species
UAAGCGCAGCGAAACUUUUUCCUGUGCAUUCUAUUGGUGCAAACUGGAAAUAAACCAUGGGAUUCAGGAAUGACAUCAGUACUGGGUUAAGCGGUGGCUUAUGAUUUGUGAGACAGAAACGGAAGCCAUGACAGUAACAUCAAACAAUUCAGUGGCUAUAAUGGUAGAAACAGAACAGAAAGACAUUCUUGAUUUUGGUGACUGGAGUUGUGGAGGCUGGAGGUCCCUGCCAAUAAAAGCAAUGAACCGGACACACACCACUUACCAAUCAAGCUGA